rnacentral:lncRNA from 1 species
ACUGUUUAAGGCUAAAGGUUCAAAAAGGAUAUAAUAUUUCAAGCACUUUGGGUGAAAAUUUGGCUAGAGAAGGGUUUUCAAAAAUGGCCUUGAUCAUAUGACAUUCACAUGCAAUUCAAUCGAUCAUCAAGAUUAAGGCAAUAUCAUCCAUGUUGUCCUAUGAACAAUGCAUACAUCAAUAAAAACUCUGGAGCUCAAAAUCUCACACACAUGCUUUCUCACACAAAAUUCAUUCAUAC